GGAUGGGUGGCCGAGCGGUUUAAGGCACCGGUCUUGAAAACCGGCGAGGGGCAACUCUCCGUGGGUUCGAAUCCCACCCCAUCCGCCA
rnacentral:tRNA from 1 species